rnacentral:rRNA from 1 species
AUACAGAGGGUGCAAGCGUUAAUCGGAUUUACUGGGCGUAAAGCGCGCGUAGGCGGCUAAUUAAGUCAAAUGUGAAAUCCCCGAGCUUAACUUGGGAAUUGCAUUCGAUACUGGUUAGCUAGAGUGUGAGAGAGGAUGGUAGAAUUCCAGGUGUAGCGGUGAAAUGCGUAGAGAUCUGGAGGAAUACCGAUGGCGAAGGCAGCCAUCUGGCCUAACACUGACGCUGAGGUGCGAAAGCAUGGGGAGCAAACAGAAUUAGAAACCCCGGUAGUCC